AAGUUUCAAGUGUGAAGAUAUCAACUUUUAAAAACGUAAAAAUUUGCAUCUUUUUGAAUAAUUUCUUUACGAUUUCUUAGAUUAAUUUCUCUUUCAGGGAAGAAAUGCGCUUAGUAUGCUGUCUUUAUCGUUGAACUGAACAUAUCAAUCCUUUCAUCCCACAUCGUCGUCCCAUUGAGAGAAACAUGUCAACUGCCCGAAGUCUAGUGCUGAAGUAGACAAUUGAAUGAAUGUCUUAACUUUUUGGCCAGUAAAAAGUUUGAGAAAGACCAAUAAGAACUGAGGGAAAGAGGCCAAUAAGAAGUCACAGAUUGAAAUAAGAUGUGUAAUGCAAGUAUCUGUACAAAAUUAUAAGGAAGAAAUGAUAGCAGAUUCAAAAAAGGAAAUCAAUGAUUUAAGGGCAAAGCUUUGCAUUAGUAAAUAUCUAGGACGUCAUGCAUGUCUUCGGAAGAGAGUUUAACAAAUAAUAUUGGCAGUACUUCUAAAAAUCCAUUUAAACUUUGUUCAUCAUGAUGAAAGUAAAUUACAUAAAAAGAUUUAAAUUACUAACAAUGUUCAU